GACCUACCUGACAUGCUGCUGAGUGUACUUGAACUCGCCGUCGGACUUCCGGAUGGAAAUGAUGACUUCCUUCCACCUGUCGUCGGGGUCUAAAAAGUCAGCCACCCGACAAAGUGCGCUGUAUCUGAGUUUACGUAUUUUCCCCCUUAAGGAUGCCUGUUGUUCGAUUCUCCCGUCAUGUGGCCCUGCGCCUGGCCGAAUGGUGCCGGUCCAAAUACGUCCAGGUGCACUUCACCAGUAAAGACCGUCGAACUGUACUGUACUGUAUUGUACAGUACUCACAAAGCUCAAGGGGCAUUGGGCUUCCCGCCAGGUUAUCAGCGCCUGCCUCCGAGCUCCUUCGAGGCCUCGAGAUCGGCCGUUUUUCGCUGUGGUCUUCGUCAGGGGACACCUCGGGCACGUUGAAGGCCCGCUUUGACGCUGUCCCUUUAACUGGAGACUGAACAGAGUGUCCUUUUGUGUCCCACCCUCAGCACCGAAUCCACUACAAGAUUUCAGUUUGUAUCGAGAACGAGACCCUUUUAUCUUGGUAAGGCGUUACUUUUAGUACCCGCAAAGUGCGCUGCUGCCGUGACGACGGGUGAAAUUAAACAACGGCGACUGAUCGGACUGCAAAAUAAAUGUUUAGUCUUAGUUGAGACAGAAUACAAAUAUAUGUAUGUACGGUAUGUGUACCACAAGGCAGAAAUUGCAAUGAGGUAUGCAAAUACUGUAUAUAUGAGGUGUGUAAAAACUAUAUUUGUCCACAUUUUAUACACAGUGAUUUAAUUCUGGGAAUAAUACCUGCACAUAAAGAUAUCUUGUAAUUCUUGUAGAUAUUAUUUGUUUAUAGAUACAAUUUUCAUUGGCAUAAAGCUCAGCUGUGAUUCUCAGCGAUGGAUUUUCCAUGGCGACGGUAAUGAAAGAGGAAUUUGAGGAAUUGUGAUGGUGUUGAGGUUUUAUGAUAGAUUCAUUAUACAUAGAUUUUUUAUUAUUAUUAUUAUUUUUUUUUUGCAGAACCCUGCUGACAAUCUCCAGCUACUACCGCAGAAUCAGUAAUCAGUCAUCAUAAUAUAAAGGGAAUGGAGCCCAUUACAGCACAGCCUCGGUUCUCGAACAAAUUGGUUUUCGAGCGAAAAUUCCGAGAUUUUUUUGCUUCUGUUUUUGAAUGAAAAUCAGUACUCGAACGCCCUCAACAUAACCCGGAAAUAACAGAACCUGCGCGGUCAGACCAGCUGACCCACGACGCGCUUUGUUGUGAAUUCCCACCCCGCCGAAAAAACUCGGAAAUAACAGAACGCGUGCGGCCCGACCAGCUGACCCACCCGCGACGCCCUUUGUUCUUGUCAAUUCGAAGGAACCCCCGAAAAAACCCGAAAAUAACAGAACUCGCUCGGCGGUUGAUUCGGUUUUCGAACAAAUCAGUUUUCGAACCUUCUAGAGCGGAUUGUGGUCGAGAACCGUAUUUGUACUGUAUUUUUAUGAAAUUGAAAAUUCAAAAUAUAUUUUGUUGUGUUAAUUUUACAGGUCAUCUUUUAACAAUGGAUUACCCAAAAAAAAUAAAAAUAAAAAAGGUCUGCUUCUUCAACUGAUUUAGAAAAAUUUUGCAUUGCUGAUUUUUUUUUUUUCUUUUUCCUUUUUCUUGUUCCGGUCAGGUUUUUAUGGCAUGUUUAUUAAUCAUAUGUUUCAGAAUUAGUUUACACUUAAUUGAAUAGUAGACUUUGAUCAAGUGAACUCACUGUAAAUUUCCUCUUUCAUCAUCAUUCAGGGCAUGACCCUCCAUUUAUUUGAACCUUUAAAGCCAAAAUUCCUGUACCUGUAAAUAAAAACUGUGGUCAUAAUUCAAAAC